CCUACGGGCGGCAGCAGUGGGGAAUAUUGGACAAUGGGCGAAAGCCUGAUCCAGCCAUGCCGCGUGUGUGUAGAAGGCCUUCGGGUUGUAAAGCACUUUCAGUGGGGAAGAAAGCCUUGGGGCUAAUACCCUCGAGGAAGGACAUCACCCACAGAAGAAGCACCGGCUAACUCCGUGCCAGCAGCCGCGGUAAUACGGAGGGUGCGAGCGUUAAUCGGAAUUACUGGGCGUAAAGCGCGCGUAGGCGGUCUGAUAAGCCGGUUGUGAAAGCCCCGGGCUCAACCUGGGAACGGCAUCCGGAACUGUCAGGCUAGAGUGCAGGAGAGGAAGGUAGAAUUCCCGGUGUAGCGGUGAAAUGCGUAGAGAUCGGGAGGAAUACCAGUGGCGAAGGCGGCCUUCUGGACUGACACUGACGCUGAGGUGCGAAAGCGUGGGUAGCAAACAGGAUUAGAUACCCCGGUAGUC
rnacentral:rRNA from 1 species